GUCAAUUAUGUUAUGAGCUUGCUAUUACGUUCUUGUAGUUAGCAGCCUGGAAUGUUUAGCUAUAUGUCUAAGUUUGCACAGUUCCUUUUAUAGAUGACAAUGGAAAGGAUGUGCUUUGCUAGCUUGUAUAUGUAUUCAAUUUCUUGUGAUUUCAAUAUUUUGAGGUAUGUCAUUUAGAGACUCUACCAAGUUAUGAUCGUACCCUUCCUUUGUAUCUUAAUCUAUGCAGAGAGCGUGAGAGAGUUGGGUUUUUGGGUAGUUCUUCUGGAGAAAUGCUUUAAACUCUUAACGGCUUUGGCAAAGUUGAGAAACUUGAAAUACUGGCAUUGUCCUUUCUUCUAUUUUUUAGAUGCUCGAGAGUCGAGAUGGGAAAGAAUGUAAUAAGAGGCCAUUUGGGCAGGGUUAUUUUCUGACAUCUCUUUGGUCUUCUAUAAAUCUUUUGUAAUGAAUGCAUCUUGAGUUUUGUGGUAGUUGGCACUUGAUAAGAAAUCUAUUGUAGUCCAUUGUUUUGAUGUUCCUGCUAUUCUGCACUUCGUUGCUUGAAAUCUUGAUGAAUGUAGAAAAUGUAUUGAAGCAUUUCUACGCAACGGUAUUAACUUAUUUGAACUACAUCCGUCCCAAGCAAAUAGACAAAUAAAGUAAUAGCAAUAUCUUUUAUUGUGGUUACUACCAUUCUAAUGUACCAUUGAGAUGCCUCGUUUAGGAUAUGAAUCUACAGACUGGUUGUUUGUUCUUCUACAUCUAUUAUCGUUUCUUUGUCUUGGUUUAUUUCGUUAAAAAGCUGGUCAUUGCCACUGUGGUUCUGAUGAUUGGACAGGGCCUAUUGAAAAAGAGCUUAGAAUCAACAAAAAUUUUGGAAUACCUUAACUUUUGUCGAAGUGGUUACGCUUUAGCGAGCUCGGUAUAAUAUGUUUUUCUUUUCCAGUUAUUUAUGCAGCCGAUUCUGAUGUCUAAGAAAGAAUUGUCUAUGUAAAACUUUGUUUUCCUAGGUUGUUUCAGAUAUCUUGGAUAUGAUAGCAUUUAGGAAAUUGCAGACCUUACCUAUCUACAUGGGUUCUUUUGUUAUGCAGAUGCCCUUGGAGCAUCGCUUUCUAAUCAUUUGGAUAAAACUCGUUUCUAUAUUGGGUGCAUGAAAUCUGGCGAAGUUUUCUCUGAACAGUGAGUCUUGUUUACUUUCAAUUCUCUUGUUUUGUGAAUUAGAAAAUUGGCAUGGUGUUUUCCCAUUUGUUUUCUGAGCAUUUCCUAAUUUCUUCGGGACCCAUCAAUGGUAUGAGUCAGAGUGGUGCAAAUUCGGAGAUAAAAAAUCGCUAGUAUUGCUAUAUAUAAUUUUUGCUUCAAGUUUCGUGGACUGUAAUUCGUCGGUGAGUUAUAAGUAAUAACAUUUCUUAUGAGAAUCAACCUUUUGCAGUUUGCUCAAGUCCUAAAUAGAUAAUCACUCUCUUCUUACAUGAAAGAUAGUUGGAAAAAAGGCGUAGAAGAAAGAGGAGAAAGGGUUGCUAAAUUAGAUGAUAAUGUCCUUCAAACCUAGUAAACAUUUAAUUCCUGGAAGUUUUCCAGUUAUACUAUUCCCUCUUCCCAACAUCACGGUUAAGGAUCACAUUUUCUCAUGAGUCACAAUGAUGUAACACGCAGCUAAUAUGAUUGAAUUCGAGAAGAUCCUUGUAUUUACAAGGCUUAAGUCCUGCCUGCAUAUCUUUACACUUGUGUACCAAAGUAACUUUCUUGUAUGCAUAGAUACUUUCGCCAUGCUUCUGGAGAGCUAUAUGCCAUGUCACAAGCUCUGGCUCAAUUUAUUGCAAUAAAUAGGUGAUUGUUUUCUUAUUUUCUUUUGAUUUUCCACUCAACAUUCAUCAUGGUUCAACUCAGUUGGAUUUCCUUUUGCAGAUCAAUUCUCCGCACAUAUGCACAUGAUGAUGUCAGUACAUGAAACAAAGUUUUGCUAUUCUUCCUGGUCAUCGGCUCCCUCUCUAACCAAAAAAAAAAAAAACUUAAAAUUGAUAUCAAUGGAGAGUUGGGAUUUACAUGUUUGAAAUCUUUGGCCUCCAUAUUUUCAAAUUUGUAUACACAUGUUUUGGGUUCUUAGGUGUGGUUUAUCACUGUCUCACCUGUUUCCCAUGUGGUGAUCAUCGAUCGGAACGAUCAAACUUGUCCAUCUUCCAAUGAUCAAUGCUUGUGUCGGCGCUUGUCGCACUUCAUCUACGGAAUCUGCUCUGCGUCGCCAUUGUUUCUGUUCUCGGUCGCUAUGUAUUGAUAAUCAAAUAACCGCAGGGGACACCAUGAACUGAAGUCGGUGCGAGUAACCUCGACCAAGACGGCCUAUCUGCAGUUUGCGGAGAUGGAGAGGCUUCAUGCUCAUAAAAUACAGCAACUCCAGCUUGAACUGGCAGAUGCAAGAGAGAGGAGUGGAACUUACCCUGACAAAACACAUAUAUCCCAAACGAACUCUAAAGAUUUUUCUCAGUUUUGAUAGAACAAUGGAAACCAACUGGAUGUCAAUGGAAGUAUCAUGGCAAGCACAAUUUCUAGGGGUUUUGCAGCUGGAAAUUCUGAAAAUGUUUCAUCCUUUGUCUCAACUGGCAAUGCUUCAAUGCCAAUCAAAAAAAAAAAAAAAAACUGGCGAUGCUUCAACUGAGGUCAACCAUGUUCAUGGUGUUGUAAUUUCCCCAACAUCCCUGCUUGCGAUGCCUACCUACCUUCCACCUGGACAGGUAACUGCUCUGCAUCCAUUUGUAAUGCAUCAAUGAGGAGUUCCCCACUCUGUGCCAUAACAUGUUGCUCAAUCUCAUGUUGGCCAUUUUCACUUGGUACCCCUUUAUUAUUGGUAGAACUGACAGGCUUCAUCAGAUGGUUCAACUCACAACCAGUAUCCUCUUUCCCAAACUAAUCAGAGCUUGUUGCGAUCAGAUACUAAUUAUGACCAUGAAGUUUCUGCAAAUGGGCAAGCUAUUCAUUUAGAGUGUUUGGAUAUUCAUUCCAGCCAGGGAAUGGGGCCUGAUACAGUGAUCAGACCGACAGCUGAGGAAGGACAGGUCGAUAAAAGUUACCUGGUAGCCCGCAACCCCAACAGAGCUUGCAACAUAUUUCUUCCCAGUUCCAUGAUGCUUUAAGAUUAGACACUCUUUCACAAAAUAGUGAAACUAAGGAGAAGAGCAUUACCAUUUCCACUUCCACUUAUCAUGGACUUGAGGGUCAAGGGUUCACUACAGAACAAGAAGGCUCUGCCAACACGCCAUUGUCUAGCACUUUAAUCAAUCAUGUGGAUUUAAGCGAAGUGACAAUGAAUAAUCCCACUGGUGGAAUUUUAUCUGAAGCAUUUGUCUCAUCUGGCCGAAAAAUAUACCUACAAUUGGUACAGCAUCGGAGAUUGUUCUUCUUGACGAAAGAUUGUUAUUGGCUUGCGUUGUUCGAACAAUACCACCUGGAUCUGGUUGUAGAAUCAGGAUUAACUCUACAGCUUGGCAAAAUGCUUGCAGCUCUUCAUUGGCAUGAUUACAAGAAAAAGUAUGGAAAACUUGAUGACUUUGUGGCUAGUCAUCCUGAAUUGACUGUUUGGGAUUUUGAAAUAAUCAAAAGGAUCCCUUUUGGCUGCGAUGUUGGUUAGUUUCAAAUUAGAUGACGGUGUAAAUAUUACCUAAGAGCAGCCACUUUGUGCAUAUUGCCAAAUAUUAAGUUAGUGCAUGGGGCAUUGUAGUGGAUUCUAUGGCAUUGUCGUGACCUUUCGUUUGGACCU